rnacentral:misc_RNA from 1 species
UCCGAGUUGACCCCGGCAGUCUCCUAUGAGUCCCCGGCAUUAUCCGCUGGCAACAUAGAACGAGGGUUGCGCUCGUUGCGGGACUUAACCCAACAUCUCACGACACGAGCUGACGACAACCAUGCACCACCUGUGCACGGCCCUUACGGACCUCCCAUCUCUGGGAGAUUUCCGUGCAUGUCAAGCCUAGGUAAGGUUCUUCGCGUUGCAUCGAAUUAAGCAACAUGCUCCGCCGCUUGUGCGGGCCCCCGUCAAUUCCUUUGAGUUUUAGCCUUGCGGCCGUACUCCCCAGGCGGGGCGCUUAAUGCGUUAGCUACGGCACGGAUCCCGCGGAAGGAAAUCCACACCUAGCGCCCACCGUUUACGGCGUGGACUAC